rnacentral:tRNA from 1 species
GGAGAGGUGGCCGAGUGGCUGAAGGCACCGGUUUGCUAAACCGGCAUACUGGGUUUACUGGUAUCGAGGGUUCGAAUCCCUUCCUCUCCG